rnacentral:rRNA from 1 species
CAGUCGCCGCGGGAAUACGUAGGGUGCGAGCGUUAAUCGGAAUUACUGGGCGUAAAGCGUGCGCAGGCGGUUUUAUAAGACAGGCGUGAAAUCCCCGGGCUUAACCUGGGAAUUGCAGUGGAUACUGGGUCACUAGAGUGUGGUAGAGGAUAGUGGAAUUUCCGGUGUAGCAGUGAAAUGCGUAGAGAUCGGAAGGAACAUCAGUGGCGAAGGCGACUACCUGGACUGAUACUGACACUGAGGUGCGAAAGCGUGGGGAGCAAACAGGAUUAGAUACCCCCGUAGUCCCUGUCUCUUAUAC